UCCGGAGUAGCUCAGUGGUAGAGCGGUCGGCUGUUAACCGAUUGGUCGUAGGUUCGAUCCCUACCUCCGGAGCCA
rnacentral:tRNA from 1 species